AAACCAGCACCUCAAGUGGUCAGGAGGAUUAUUAAGCCUAAAGCAUCUGUAGCCUGUUCUAUAAGUUUCCGGUUAAAUCCACUAGCUCAACUAGUGGGCUGCCGAAAAUACUGUAGAACUAGGGAGUGGGAGAGGUAGACGGUAUUCGGUAGGAAGGGGUAAAAUCCUUUGAUCUAUUGAGGACCACCUGUGGCGAAGGCGGUCUACCAGAACACGUUCGACGGUGAGGGAUGAAAGCUGGGGGAGCAAACCGGAUUAGAAACCCCGGUAGUCC
rnacentral:rRNA from 1 species